rnacentral:rRNA from 1 species
UAACCUGCCCAAGAGAUCGGGAUAACACCUGGAAACAGAUGCUAAUACCGGAUAACAACAGAUGAUGCCUAUCAACUGUUUAAAAGAUGGUUCUGCUAUCACUCUUGGAUGGACCUGCGGUGCAUUAGCUAGUUGGUAGGGUAACGGCCUACCAAGGCGAUGAUGCAUAGCCGAGUUUAGAGACUGAUCGGCCACAUUGGGACUGAGACACGGCCCAAACUCCUACGGGAGGCAGCAGCA